rnacentral:rRNA from 1 species
UAGGGAAUCUUCCGCAAUGGACGAAAGUCUGACGGAGCAACGCCGCGUGAGUGAUGAAGGUUUUCGGCUCGUAAAACUCUGUUGUUAGGGAAGAACAAGUUGGGUAGUAACUGACCCAACCUUGACGGUACCUAACCAGAAAGCCACGGCUAACUACGUGCCAGCAGCCGCGGUAAUACGUAGGUGGCAAGCGUUGUCCGGAAUUAUUGGGCGUAAAGCGCUCGCAGGCGGUCUUUUAAGUCUGAUGUGAAAGCCCACGGCUUAACCGUUGAGGGUCAUUUGGAACUGGAGGACUUGAGUACAGAACAGGAGAGUGGAAGUCCACGUGUAGCGGUGAGAUGCGUAGAGAUGUGGAGGAACACCAGUGGCGAAGGCGACUCUCUGGUCUGUAACUGACGCAGAGGAGCGAAAGCGUGGGUAGCGAACAGG